rnacentral:lncRNA from 1 species
CGCUAUUUGCCAGCCCAUUUCCGAAGACCUCGCCGCCUUCUACCAAAUGUUCAUUGACGUGCGAUGGGGUGGUGGCAACAUAGAAUUAAAAAAAGAGGUUUUUUUUUUGUUAAUCGUCAUUACUGCUACUAAAAUUUAAGAGGACUUUUGAUUUUUUCUUUUUCCAUAAACCUAAUUUAAUUCCUCUUUUGUUUUUUCUCUCUUAUUUUUUUUUUUUUUUGUUUUGCCGUGAUUUGCUUAUCAUGUAGCAAUUCCUGAUUGAAUAUGGGUCUCUGAUGGAGCUGCAAGUCAAUGUUGAGGUUUUUGUUUUACCACUUCUUUGUUGUCCUUUUUUAUUUGAUGGGAAUUUUUUUUAUUCAAAUAGUUUAAAAGUGGAUUUAGAUAGUUACAUAGUUGAUUAUGUUAAUUUGGUUGUGGAGUAAGUUAAUUUUGUAUUAGAUUUUGAUAACUUUGUAGUGAAUUUUGAUAAUUGGAUUUCGAUAACUUUAUAGUGAAUUUCGAUAACAUUUGAGUGGAUUUUAAGUUGCUUGGAAAGGGAAAUGUUUUGAAUGAAUUGAAUUGACAUGUUUUUGAUUUAUUAUCCUUGUUUCUUCUUUUUUUUUUUUUUAUUUAACAACUGAUUUUUGUUCUUUUAAUUUUGAUAAUGUUUUUGUUCUGGAUGAUACUUAUGACGAAAUUGCUGAUGGGAGGAAGAAGAUGAUGAUUUUUUCAAAUAGUGGUUUACGUUUCAAAUAACGAGAAGAAGAUGAUUACACGGACUAUGCUCUAGGGUUCAUUGGAGAGAAGAUGGUGUCCUUUAUAGUGGUUUUAUAGCUUUUUUUUC